rnacentral:rRNA from 1 species
CCUACGGGUGGCAGCAGUGAGGAAUCUUGGUCAAUGGACGAGAGUCUGAACCAGCCAAGUAGCGUGAAGGAUGACUGCCCUAUGGGUUGUAAACUUCUUUUAUAUGGGAAUAAAAUGUUCCACGUGUGGGAUUUUGUAUGUACCAUAUGAAUAAGGAUCGGCUAACUCCGUGCCAGUAGCCGCGGUAAUACGGGGGAUCCGAGCGUUGUCCGGAUUUAUUGGGUUUAAAGGGAGCGUAGGCGGAUUGUUAAGUCAGUUGUGAAAGUUUGCGGCUCAACCGUAAAAUUUCAGUUGAAACUGGCAGUCUUGAGUACAGUAGAGGUGGGCGGAAUUCGUGGUGUAGCGGUGAAAUGCUUAGAUAUAACGAAGAACUCCGGUUGCGAAGGCAGUUCACUGGACUGCAACUGACACUGAGGCUCGAAAGUGUGGGUAUCAAACAGGAUUAGAUACCCUAGUAGUC